rnacentral:lncRNA from 1 species
GAGGAUCAAUGCAUAUAAGUUUAGAAUCUAACAGAUUUCAGUAAAUGGCAUGAAUUUGGAAUUCUUGCAUUUGCAGUAAGGAUUUGGGAGUGUGAAAAGAGAAUCAUUGAAGUUAUGUUCAAUUGAUCUAGUUCACAAAGUAAAGAUCAUAGACAAACAUAGUAUGCAUACUUGGUGUGUGGCAUGACUAGUGUUUAAAAAAACAUAGUGUACAUGCUUGGAGCAUGGGACAACUAUUGUUUUAAAUUCAAGAAUAAAGUUGAUAGCUGAAACAGUAUACAAUGAAUAAUGUGUAAUCAUAUGGUGAUAAAUAAAAGGUGUUUUAUUUAUGUUCAAAGGGUUGAUACCAUAUUAGAUUCAAUUAUUAUUGUGUUUCACUUUGCAUGUUUUGACUUCCCGAAUAAACUGGGUUAUUCUUCCGGAAUGACUAAGUUAUUCAAACCAUCCACAGUCGGUCAUAUGUUGGAAGUAGAUAUGAAUUAAGACUGUCAUGGGUUGGCUUGUAGAGGUCUAAGGUGUUGGACAAAGGGCUACAACACUCAUGAGUGCUCAUAAGUUCUGAGUAUUGGAUUCAACCCGCGCUCAUUGGAAUCACUUCAUGGAUUUUAUCACGAGUGAUCAUGAGACGAUAAUAUCUUAUAUUCUUCAAACCUAGAGAUAUGAGUUGUUACUAUGAGUUGAUAGUACAUUGAUUGCACGAAAACGCAUUUGGUAACUCGGUGCUAUAAAACGUGCCUUUGUGUAUGAUUCAACAAGUAGUAGAACAAGCCAUAUGAGUCGAAGUUUAUCCAUUCCUUUUACCUUCGGGAUAAAAGCGAUAUCUGUGGGCCCCUCGAUGAUUUGAUGAUGACAAAUGGAAGUGCUCGGCCGGGCCAGGACUGAUUUGAUUUGUUCAAUUAGUCAGUCGUCAUAAAUCGGAAAUCGGGAAACAACAAAUGGACAGAGAGAAUGAUUAUAAUCCAUGUCUCAGUCCAUAUGAUAUCUAGAAUGGAGGAAUAUAUGAUCCCUUAUCUAAUGGACAAGUCAUUGACAAAGGUCAGAGUUCAUCUACAAGGUCAGAGUUCGACAGAAGCUUUUGAGAGCUACGAUUGCCAGUUGGUUCCUGAAGUCAUACGCAAUAAUAGUUUUAGACUUAUCCAAGUGGGAGACUGUUGGAUUAAUGUCUAAGUCCAUAACUAUAAUUGGUAAGACUUGACCCGACCCGGCAUGGUCCAUUUGGGUUGCAUACCAUCAUGCACUUGGAUAGACUAUAAUGAGAGAAAUAAGACACUUAUGGUUAUUAAUAUAUUAUAAGUUCUAGUAUAUUAAUAAUAAGAAUAAUAAGAUUAUUUAAUUAGUAUUGAUCAAGAAUUAAUCUAGGAUUAAUUAAGUGAUCAAAAGAAGACUAAUUAAAUAUAUGGGUUGAUUGUGUAAAUCAUCCAUACUUGUAUAGUGGGCUAAUGCUCCAUGGAUAAUCAAGUUGGGCUAAAACCCAUAGGAUGGUCCAUGGAUGCUCCAUGGUGUAUUUGUACCCAUGGAUCCAAGGAAAUGGAAAGCCAUGACAAUUAAGAGUUUACCCUAAUUGUGUAACUAUAUAAGCAUCUUAUUAUUGAGGAAAAAUCGGCCACUAGUAGUAUUCAAGAAAGGGCUAGCCGAUUUUGGUGAGUGUAGAAUUCUCUCAAGUCAUUCUAAGUGUUUUGAUGAUUGUGAUUCCAUUUGAGGUGUCACACUUGGGGCACUAAGCACUCAAGCUUCAUGAAGACUUUCUACAUCAAGAGGUAUGUAUUCUAUCUUGUUACAUUAUUGUUUUGUAUGCUAGAUUAGGAUAAUACCUUGGAAGUUCUUAUUUGCAUGUAUAAUAGAGAAAACAUAGAUCCAAGGUAUUUAGGGUUGCAUGUACACUUAGGAGUGUUAGAAUGCUCAAAACCCAACAGUGGUAUCAGAGCCUAGGCUUGUUUUCUUGUUAUACCUGCAAUAGAAGCUGAAAAAACGAAUCUGGUGCUGUCUGGCCAUCAGACUCGGCGAGUCCAUCAGGAGACUCGACGAGUCCAUGCCUAAAAAGUGAUGAAUUCGAUCCAACUCGCCGAGUUUGUUCAUGCACUCGACGAGUUGGACCCCCAGACAGCAUAUUUUCGAGUUUUUUGGCUAGAAAUGGACUAGGAACAUUACCCUAAGUUGUUUUUGAACUUAUAAACUUGUUUUUGAUGUGGUAAUGUUCAUGCUAAUCCAUUUUCAAAGAUAAUUGUCAAUAGAUUCAUGUUUUGUAUUAGUUUAAGGUUUAGACUAAUUACAUGAAAAAGUUUGAUUUGAAUUAUCUUGUUCUUAUGAGUUGCUUAGAUUAAUAGAAAUGUUGAGUGAAAUAGUUGUUUUCAAUCCAUUUUAAUCUAAGAGUUGAGUAUAAAAUGUGUUUGUGUAACUUGUCCUCAAGUUACAUGAAGAGUCACAUUAAAGACUCAUAAAACUCAUAAGAGUUGGCAAUGGUUACAAAAUGAAGAGUCUUGUGUCAUUGAAUAAUUUUUUUUGACUCCAUAACUUGUCCUCAAGUUAUGGAAGUUCAAGAGUCACUUCAUUAAAGAAAAAUAUGUAACCAUAAUUAAAUCCAUAAGUUAUAAAAUAAAGAAAAAGUUAGUUCUUUUAUUAGUUUAAAGUCUUCCAUAACUUGUCCUCAAGUUAUGGAACUUGAAGAGUUUUUGGAUUAAAACUACUUUAAACACAUAAGUUAUGGAAUUAAUUAGUUUUGAAUAGUUUCAAAACUUGCCCUCAAGUUUUGGAAUUUGAAAAGUUUUCAAGUAUGAAUACUUUAAUUCCAAGUUAGCCCUUAGAAUUUUAAAAGUUAAAAUUCAACCCUUAUACUUUAUAAUAUUAUAAGUUAAUAAUAUAUAUAUGUAUAAGAGUAAAGUCAGUCUUACCGCUAGUACGCCUCAUUCACGAAGCCGGUCUAUAAGGUGGGUAUAAGGUUGUUGCCUAUAAAAUGGCAACUUAAUGGGUGUCCACUCUCACCCACCGCUUGCUUGACUGGUGGAGGGUCGUUAGCCGAACGGGUUUGACAGGACUAGAAUUCUCCCUUCAUUAAAAGUAUUAAUGAUAAUACUAAGUAACUAAACUCUUAAUAAUACCCAAUCUUAGUUACUUAGGAAAAAUGUGAAUAAGGUGCUAAUCCAUGAAAUUACACUUUACACUUUGUCUAAGUCGUUAGUGGAGCGUGUGUGGUUAACCGGCACACUAACUUGGACUUAACAAGGUAGGUAAAGGGUGACUUAAUAUUUAUCAUAGUAUCGAUGGAGCGUGUGUGGUUAACCGGCACAUCGAUUGAGGGGUAAUUUAUUAAGGGUACCAAGUGAUUUGCAUGGUUACUUCACACCUUGUUUUGUGAUCCUCGGCAUCCCAGUCACAAAACCUGAAGGGCACACUCGAGAUUGAAACAUGCCUUUGAAAAGUUCAAUGAAUCUCAAAGAUCUAGGAGUUUCAAAACCAAUUAAAACCUAAUAAUACAUUUCGUUUAUCUUGGUGGAAAUUGGUGAAUCGUCAUUCACCUACCUUCAAAUAUUUUAUAGCUUGGAUUACGGCAUACCUCUUCUAAGUUAUAAAAUAGUUUGUUGGGUCCUAGCCUUAAUAUUUCAUAUUGGGUGUCAUAUUAAGGACUUUAAAUCAACUAUCUUGAAUAUCUCCCAAAAGAUGUCUGGUUUAGACACCUAUGAUCUUCCCAAAUCUCUUGAAACAAGGUUUCCUAAUGAAGAUGAUGUCCCAUGGAUAUCAUACUUCUUCACCUCUUCAAAUUAUUCUCCCUAACCCACAAGUUCUUGAAAAGUUUAAGGUCACUCAGGCCCUAUUGGCAAGGCAAGGUCUAGGUGUGGUCACAUCUUGGAGAUGUAGUCACAUAUUGACAAGCCGGGAGAGUUGGGUGUCAAAGUCUUGAGAAAGUUGGUGGUUCAACCACUUUCUAAGUCACAUAGUGAGUUCCUUUGGGACACCUAUGAAACAGACUAUGACAAGACCCUUAAUGAUCUUAUCUAUUUGCUAAGAUCAACUUCCUAAAACUUUAUGGACAUUGACAAUGAUGACAUUGGAUAUCCAGUAAAGCAUUCUCUUCCCAAUGGAAAGGGAUCGGCCAUAGUCAACUCGGUUGACCAAAUGGUAAAGAGAAAAGCUAAGUCUGUGAUAGUCCCGUGUACCAUUAUCAAAGGGUCCAUAUGUUUAUAUUGCCAAAGGAAGGGGCAUUGGUUGCGAAGCUGCCAAAUUUACCUAAGGAUGUUAAAGUCAAUAAGUUUGACUCUACUUCAGGUAAAGUCCACUAUCUAACUCUGUUAAGUUUCUAUUCUGAGAUUCUUGAUACAUGAUGUGACUGGGUCACAUGGUGAUGUUUUAAGAAUCAAAGAAAAGUGAAGAAACUUAAAGAAAGAAUAUGCUGAAUCUGAUGGCGUAGAUGGAUUUCUAUCGCAUAGUUUGAAGAUCGGAUUCUUGAGCUACUUCUUAGGAGUUAUGAGAUAUUGCUUAGGAAUAGAUAACAACAAGUUUUCAUAUGGAUUGUAAGGAUAAGUUUUUCCGCAAAGUUUUAAAAUAAAAGAAAAUUUUUUAUAUUUUAUUUAUUUUAAAAUAUCCUUACAAUGGCAUUUGAGGAAAAAUUGUUGCUUAUAUGAUUCCAUUAAGAGCAAGAGUGGAAAUAUGAAAUUGAUUCUUUCAUUUGUGGUAAUGUCUAAAUUUACCAAAUAAGGAAAGAUUCUCAUCACCCAAGUUUCAAUUGGACCGGAACUUGGAAUCAUGCAAGUUGUAUAGCAUGAUGAAUGAGAACUUUCAAGUUUUGGAAAAUUAAGACUAAUUACUUGUUCACAUGGAUGUGUGAGUCAAGUAAAGGACUUAGGGAUCGAGUACACAUUCUUGUGCACUGAUUAAGUCCACCACUAAAGAUCGAUAAGAAGAAUCAAAUAAGGCAGAAGGAUAAAAGUUUCUCAAAUCUGAAAAGAUGGGAGAGUACUUUAGUAUCAGUUUUGUGAUCAUCUUAAUGAUUAAGAAACCAUAUCAAAAUUAGUUCUCUAAGGAAAUCUUAGUGCAUUCUUAUGACUAAGAAGAGGAACUUGAAUUGUUGAAAUGGUUAAAUCAAGAAGAUGAGUCAUACUUCGUUCCAAUACAAGUCUUAGAGUCAUACUCCAAGAUUGUCAUUUGAGUGACAUGUCUUAAAGAAGGUUUAAAACACUUGUCAAAUGUAAGAGUAAAAGUUUUCUACUCUUGUACAUUUGAAAUUGGUAAGUUGUGAUGUUUUGGAUAAAACAAAGACCAACUUAGGCCAAUUGGGUAAAGUGUUUUUCUUGAUUAGAAUCCGCACUAUCUCUUGGAUGUUUGACAAGGGAGUCUUAUAUGUCAAGAGGACAGUGGGAGUCUUAAAGGUCUUGAAAGUCUCAAGAAAUAAUCAAGAAUAAAACCUAAAGUUCUUCACUAGCACACGACUUGAGGUUUAUAACCUAUCGUGUUGACAUAUCUGUGCCCAUUCCAGUUAAAGUUGGCUUUGCAUAUGAGUUCUUAGAGUUCUCAGUUUGUUGCAUAACAACUUGGAAGCAAUGGCAGGCCCUUGAGCUGCCAGGUGGCAAGAAGUUAAGAUUGAGUUCAAUCCAUAUGGUUUUGGAUUUGUCAUUAUCUUUGUCUUGUGAUUAUGGUUUGACAAAUUCAUAUGGGUAGGAACUCAUACACCAUAUAAAUCUAAGUGUCAUAAGGUUUCUCUCCGAUUCAUGAAAAUGAUGGUGAGGAAACGCUUUCACUAAGUAGAUUUUACGAAGAUAUCAAUUGUGUUAUUUGCAUUUUCAAAAGUCGUUAGUGGAGCGCGUGUGGUUAACCGGCACACUAACAUGGACUUGUGAGAAAUGGCAAAUGCCUAAGCAAUUGAGACCAUGAUUACGGUAUCCCUUUUCAUGGUUCUUGAAAUUGCUUAGACACACAGGUGAGCUAUCUACGGAAAGGGUGUAUGAAUCUAAAUUUCAGACUGUCCAGCUGAUUUCUGAGUACAUGUCAAAGCUAGUGGGAGCAUAAGUGUUAUGCUAAUAAUCAUCAUGUUAGUGGGAGCAUGAUAAUUAUGAUAAGUAUUGCAAGUUAGCAAUGUUAAUUAUAGAAAACAAAAGUUUCAAUUGGGAAAAAGUUGUUUUGCUAUAAUUAAGGGAGAGGAAAUUAUGCUUCAUCUCAAAUCUAUAAGCUUAGAUCGUGAGGUUUUAAUCAUUUAGUCAAGGAUAUAUAUGAAUUUCAUGUUGGAAUGGCUCAACAUAAGGAAAUUCUGUAUAUGGGUCCAUUAUUUGCGUUCUAAAAUUCGAUUAUGAUUACGGCAUCCCUUUUCAUAAUCUGAAUUAUGAGAACUUGGCAAAUUGAAAUGGAAAUAUUAUAGCAAAAGACUGGUUUAGUCUUUAUGUAAGACAUCAUGAAUCGUGUCCCAUAUGCUUCGGAUAUAGGAUCGAUUACAUGUGCUAUAUUCAUCCGUUCUAAAAUUUUCCAAAUGCCUGGGGCAUUAAGAAGGGAAAAGGUUUAGAACUGGAUAUGACUAAAAGGAUUAAACAAUUGUCGAGGACAAUCUAAGGUUUACCAAAGAUUGGUUACUCAAGGACAAUUGGAAGUAUAGUGAUAAUUCUGGAAGGACCAUAUUGACAUAAUCUGUAAGGAGGCAACUCUUGUUCAGAAGUGAUAGUCAAAAUGGAAUCUGGAAAUGUUUCAAAGUUAGAAUUUUCAAUCUGUGUAAGAUUAAGGAAACUUAAUGCAAGAAGGAUAUUUCCAAGGAGUUGAUCUCCUUUGGAAUACUCUGUAAUGAUUGUUGCCAAGUCUUUGUGACUUUGUGCAUAAUCAUUACAAGAGGAUCAAUGCAUAUAAGUUUAGAAUCUAACAGAUUUCAGUAAAUGGCAUGAAUUUGGAAUUCUUGCAUUUGCAGUAAGGAUUUGGGAGUGUGAAAAGAGAAUCAUUGAAGUUAUGUUCAAUUGAUCUAGUUCACAAAGUAAAGAUCAUAGACAAACAUAGUAUGCAUACUUGGUGUAUGGCAUGACUAGUGUUUAGAAAACAUAGUGUACAUGCUUGGAGCAUGGGACAACUAUUGUUUUAAAUUCAAGAAUAAAGUUGAUAGCUGAAACAGUAUACAAUGAAUAAUGUGUAAUCAUAUGGUGAUAAAUAAAAGGUGUUUUAUUUAUGUUCAUAGGUUUUGAUACCAUAUUGGAUUCAAUUACUCUUGUGUUUCAUUUUGCAUGUUUUGACUUCCAGAAUAAACUAGGUUAUUCUUCCGGAAUGACUAAGUUAAUCAAACCAUCCACAGUCGGUCAUAUGUUGGAAGUAGAUAUGAAUUAAGACUGUCAUGGGUUGGCUUGUAGAGGUCUAAGGUGUUGGACAAAGGGCUACAACACUCAUGAGUGCUCAUAAGUUCUGAGUAUUGGAUUCAACCCGCGCUCAUUGGAAUCACUUCAUGGAUUUUAUCACGAGUGAUCAUGAGACGAUAAUAUCUUAUAUUCUUCAAACCUAGAGAUAUGAGUUGUUACUAUGAGUUGAUAGUACAUUGAUUGCACGAAA